CAAUAGCAUAUAUUAACGUUGUUGCAGUUGAAAAGCUCGUAGUUGAACUUUUGGUAGGAGCGACCUGGCCUUGGGCGCAUGCCCUUGUUUGCCGUGUGUCGUAUCUGGCCAUCCUUUUCCGUUUCGGCGGGAAUCUUUUACUGUGAGUAAACUGGAGUGCUCAAAACAAGGCGUUUGUUUGGUACAUUAAAGCAUGGAAUAAUAAGAUAGGACCUGGUUACUAUUUUGUUGGUUUGCAUAGCUAGGUAAUGAUUAACAGGGACAGUUGGGGGUAUUCGUAUUUAAUUGUCAGAGGUGAAAUUCUUGGAUUUAUGAAAGACGAACGACUGCGAAAGCAUUUACCAAGGAUGUUUUCAUUAA
rnacentral:rRNA from 1 species